rnacentral:tRNA from 1 species
GCGGGCGUGGCGGAAUUGGUAGACGCGCCGGAUUUAGGUUCCGGUGUCGCAAGACGUGGGGGUUCGAGUCCCUUCGCCCGCA